AUUGAACGCUGGCGGCAGGCCUAACACAUGCAAGUCGAGCGGGUGAAGGGAGCUUGCUCCUGGAUUCAGCGGCGGACGGGUGAGUAAUGCCUAGGAAUCUGCCUGGUAGUGGGGGAUAACGUCCGGAAACGGGCGCUAAUACCGCAUACGUCCUGAGGGAGAAAGUGGGGGAUCUUCGGACCUCACGCUAUCAGAUGAGCCUAGGUCGGAUUAGCUAGUUGGUGGGGUAAAGGCCUACCAAGGCGACGAUCCGUAACUGGUCUGAGAGGAUGAUCAGUCAAAAGGGAAAUGAGACACGGUCCAGACCCCUAAGGGAGGGAGGAGGGGGGAAUAUUGGAAAAGGGGAGAAAGCCUGAACCAGCCAGGCCGGGGGUGGGAAGAAGGGCUUUGGAUUGUAAAAAACUUUAAGUUGGGAGGAAGGGAAGUAAGUUAAAACCUUGCUGUUUGGACGUGACCAAAAGAAAAAGCACCGGCAAAUUGCGG
rnacentral:rRNA from 1 species